CAUAGCAAUUGGAUGACUCGAACUCAGUAGAUGUUAAGGCUUUCUAUUUUCUCAAAGAGAGAAAUUUGGCAGUAGCAAAACAAAUGGCUUGUUGAGCUUUUGCCCUUGAUGAUCUUCUUAAACUAUCAUUCUAAGAAGGAUGAGCUUCAGCUAAACAAUCAGCAGCAUCAUCAACUACAUAUGGAGUAAUAGGAGGGGCAGUAGGAAAUCCAUCAUCUUCUAUAAGAGGAGGCGAUGAUGCUGUCGGUGUAUGAGGCACCACCACUAGCACCAUCUCAGUUGGUGCCAAGCAAUUUAGCAGCAUAACCGACAUCAUGAUAGGAUUUUGAGAAGAAAAUAAAUGAUCUAGCUUCAAGACGGUUGAGUCAGAUCCAAGAAGAAUCACAGAUAAUGCCUGAUGGGAUGUAGAGCGAUAAUUAGUCUCAGGAUAGUACA
rnacentral:lncRNA from 1 species